rnacentral:lncRNA from 1 species
CUAAAUUUUUUAAAAUUAUAUAAAAAUUUUUUAUAAUAAAAAUUAAAAUAUUAUAAAUUUUAAUUUUAGGAGGCCAAAUUAAUUUUUUUAAUAAAAUUUGUGUCUCAAUUUUUUUUCUAAUUUUUGGUCAUUUCUCUUCAACUCUUAUAGUUUUGUUCAUCUUUGAACAUAUUGUCAUUAUUAUUAUCAGUAAUAACUGAUUAGUGAAUCUGACAAAUUUUUUUUUCUUACUAUCCGAGGUCAAAUUUUUUUUCUAUAAAAUCUAAAUCUUGACCUUCUCGAAUCUUAAUUUCUGACUUCGUCCCUGGAAGAAGCAAGAAGCUGGCGAAGAAACUAGAUGAAU